rnacentral:rRNA from 1 species
GACGAACGCUGGCGGCGUGCUUAACACAUGCAAGUCGAGCGAUGAAGCUUCUUCGGAAGUGGAUUAGCGGCGGACGGGUGAGUAACACGUGGGUAACCUGCCUCAUAGAGGGGAAUAGCCUUCCGAAAGGAAGAUUAAUACCGCAUAAGAUUGUAAUAUCGCAUGAUAUAGCAAUUAAAGGAGUAAUCCGCUACGAGAUGGACCCGCGUCGCAUUAGCUAGUUGGUGAGGUAACGGCUCACCAAGGCGACGAUGCGUAGCCGACCUGAGAGGGUGAUCGGCCACAUUGGGACUGAGACACGGCCCAGACUCCUACGGGAGGCAGCAGUGGGGAAUAUUGCACAAUGGGGGAAACCCUGAUGCAGCAACGCCGCGUGAGUGAUGACGGUCUUCGGAUUGUAAAGCUCUGUCUUUAGGGACGAUAAUGACGGCACCUAAGGAGGAAGCCACGGCUAACUACGUGCCAGCCGCCGCUGUAAAAC